GUGGCAACCCGUUUGGGUCCCCUUCCACACUGGAAGCUUUGUUCUUUUGCUCUUCACAAUAAAUCUUGCUGCUGCUCAUAGAAAGAUGCAAGCUAGUGCUAGCGAGACAGCCUGCAAAACCCCUGUGUUGUUUUGGGCUGUUAACCAUAGUCUGAGUGGCUUAGACAACAAACAUUUAUUUCUCACAGUUCUAGAGGCUAGAAGUCCAAGAGCAGAUGCCAGCAGACCUGUCUGGGGAAGGCCUGCUUCUUGGCCUGGAGACAGCCGCUUGCUCACUAUGUCUUCACAGGGCAGAGUGAACCCUGGUCUGUUUCUCUUACAAGGACACUCAUCCCACUGUGGGCCUCCACCUUUGUGAUUUCAUCUAUACCUAAAAGGCCCCACUUCCUAGUAUUCCGCCGGGGGUUCAGGCUUCAAAGAUGAAUACUGGGGGCGACACAAACGGAGCCCAUAACCUCAUGCCGCCUGACUCCUGAGGCUGUAUUCGUGAUGAACGUGUGGCUGCCCAAGUUUUGUUUUGCUCAGGCAGGAUCAGCACACACCCAGCCACAGACAGGGAAGCCCAGAGCAGGGCAGAAUAUGGUCCCUCAAGUGAAUAAUUGGCCCAGGGAUACAGAAUUAGGUGAUUCUAGCAAAUCCAGACAUUUUCUAGGGUGCCAGUGAAUUUUGGGUCUGUCCCUGUUAGCUGUUCUUGAGAUUUUGCACUCAACUUGCGAUGGUUAAUACGGAGUGUCAACUUGAUUGGAUUGAAGGAUGCAAAGUAUUGUUUCUGGGUGUGUCUGUGAGGGUGUUGCCAAAGGAGAUUAACAUUUGUGUCAGUGGGCUGGGAAAGGCAGACCCACCCUCAAUCUGGGUGGGCACCAUCUAAUCAGCUGCCAGCGUGGCCGGAAUAAAAGCAGGCAGGAGAAUGUGGAAAGACUAGACUAGUCUUGUGGCCUCCAUCUUUCUCCUGUGCUGGAUGCUUCCUGCCCUUGAACAUCGGACUCCAAGUUCUUCCGUUUUGGGACUUGGAUUAGCUUCCUUGCUCCUCAGCCUGCAGACGGCCUACUGUGGGACCCCUUCUUACUGAAAGCCUCCCUGUAAGGUGCUGAUUGCCUUCCAGAUCUGAGGACCCCGUCUCUGCCUCAUUCCUCCUGUUUCCAUCAGAAGACACAGGUCUGGGACUCAGCGCAGCUGACCUGUCUGUCCCUCUCUGCACAGUUUACUCCUGGGCUCUGCAGAGAGAAGUCAGUGCCUCAAUUUUCCAUUGAAAUAUGCACCCUUGGCAUCCUGGCAGGUGAGCGGCGCCCCCUUAGGGCUAAUACAGUGACAUAAAAUGUGUCAUAUUUUUGGCUGUGUGGUGGCUCAUGCCUGUGAUCCCCACACUUUGGGUGGCUGAGGCAGGCUGACUGCCUGAACUCGGGAGUUGGAGACCAGCCUGGCCAACAUGGUGAAACCCCAUCUCUACUAAAAAUACAAAAAUUAGCCAGGCAUGGUGGCAUGCACCUGUAGUCCCAGCUACUUGGGAGACUGAGGCAGGAAAAUCCCUUGAACCCGGGAGGCAGAGGUUGCAGUGAUCUGAGAUUGCGCCACUGCACUCCAGCCUGGGCGACCGAGUGACACUUGGUCUCAAAAAAAAAUUAAUUGUCAUAUUUUUGAAAAAGUAUAUUAGCUUUGCAAUGAGUAAAGUUCACUCUCUAGGAAGAUGUCCCUGUUUCCUGUGGCUACAAAUGCUCCCUGCCACACUGGGAGGCCGCACCUCACUGCGCCGGAGUGCAGUCUUCAGUGGGGUCCUCUGCUGUGACCGAAAGAAGGGUGCAGCCGGGCCUGCUUCCAAGGCUAGGGUCUGAGACCUGGAGUGUGUCCAUGGAUAUCAGAUGUUGAGCUACAGGGGACCGGCAGCCCACAGCAGCACCCUCGGUGGCUACCUUAGGGUGUUCCUGUGGGCCUCCCCCCACCAGCACCUCCCUCCAGCUUUCCUGCCUCCAUCCCCCCUCCAGGACACUUCCUCCUCUGGCUAAAGGUUUGGCACCUUUCAUUUGAGAGAGAUUAACAGCAAACACACAGGGCUUUCUGCAGGCCAGGGCUGCUGCUGAGCUUUUGCCAGGCAUUUGGUCCUCUGCCAAGCCCAUGCAUAGUUUCUGUCUACAUUGUGCAGUUGGGGACUUGGCACCUGCCCAGCACCUAUGCUUGGGGCCCCUCCUCUGUGCUGCAGGCGGGUGUUCACACCCUUUCAUACCCGCUGUCAUCUCCCUGCAGCCCACCCUGCUUGACGAGGUCAUCACUGGUGCUUAGGAGUAAACUGGAAUGGCAGACAGAGCCCAGUGGAUAUUGCAGAGGAACAGAAGGAAAAAGAUGUGCAUGACGCCUCAGUGCUUGCAGCAUUAAAGCAAAAAAAAAAAAAAGAGCAAAGUAGCACAGUGAUUAAAUAGUCGGGUGCCUGCAUUCCAUCCUCACCUGCUGUGAACCAGCCACAUGACCUUGGACAGGUGGCCUGGUGCCUCCUCUGGGUAGUGGCUGGGAGUGGCACUGUCACCUAGGCCCUGUCACCUAGGCCCAGGGGCAGGAGUAAGCAAGGUAGCAGGUGUGAUCCAUUAGCACAGCUGAUGCUCAGUCACGGUGGCCCUGGCACUCCUCAGAGGGCCCCUGCCAUGCCUGGGGGAGGAGGGGCUGCAGUCCGUGCCCAGUGAAUGUACCACCUGCCUGACAUCGCAGCGUCCACUCUGGCAGAUGCGACACCACGCCUAGUGAGGUCUGAACAGGGACCCUCAGCAGUGCGCCCACAGGUGCACAUGAGUGAUGACCAUAGCUGCCCGCUGGUUGUGCCCUCCUGGGCAGGAAGCACACCAGGGAGCCCUGGCAGAGCAGGCCCUUAGGGAGCACCCAGGAGGGCCUGGGGCUGGGGCCUCGAUUCUGGGCAGCCAGCCUUCGGGACCUUGGUCACGCGCCUACCUGGACCUCUGCCCCUGCCUGCCCUAUCCCUCAUUAGAAUCCCAGCCCUCCUGGCUGUUCUGGGUACUCUGAUCAAGCCAGACAGUGCUAGUUCAGCACUGAGAGAGUGUGUCCUGUCUGGUCAGGGACCACCAGGGUAGACAGACAUUCACUCCUAAGUUCCCACCGAAAAACAGCACGAGGGUAUAUUGGGCAACCAGGUGAAGACUGUUCCAGAGCCAGUUAUCCCAGAGGAGCUAGGAAGCCUUUCCCUCUGCUGUCUUCCUUUUACUCAGACACGUCCUCCAGAGCUGGCUGCAUGUGCAUUCCCUCUGCUUUCCUGGAAGUCCCCUCCUUUCCAUCUACAAUGGGACUUUUAAAAAUACUCACAGUCACUAGUGCACAAGAAGAACCAUUCAAAGCCGGCAUCCAACCUCAGAUUUGCAGCAACCUAAGAUUUGUUUGCAAAGGAAUAGAACGAUAAAGCUUCAACCCACCCACGUUUAUAACUGAGAAGAAAACACACACUUCAUUUGGUAAAUACAGCAAACAACUGAAAGUAUGCUUUGACUCUGUAUUGAGGCCAGUUAGGGGAUGGAAAGGGUGAGGCUAAGCAGGUAAAGGAAAUGGAAGAGAAGGUCAGGAGAAGGAAAAUGUGAGCUAGGCAGGCGGCUCAUGCCUGUAAUCCCAACACUCUGGGAGCCCAAGGCAGGAGGAUCAUUUGAGUCCAGGAGUUUGACCCCAGCCUGGGUGAAAUAAUGAGACUUUGUCUCUACUAAAAAAAAAAAAAAAAAAAAAGUUAAAAACAGUAAUAAAAGGAAAAUGUAGAGGGGAGAAGCAACUGAGAAGAGAGGGGAGAGUGAGAAGGAAUGAGCAGGGAGGUGGAGGGCGUGGGGGUGGCUUUGUUUUGGCCUCAUCUUUCCAGGGAGACAGCCCUGUGGCGAUGGCCAGGCCACGAUGCUAGGCUGCUCUUGGUCAUUACCAGCCCCUGAAAUCAGCGUCCUCAACCCUAGCCCUGUCAUCUCUGCUGGGAGUGGGUCUCUAUUUCUUUUCUGCAAUUUACAUUUAAAGCAGAGUUUACCCUGGAAUUCUGAAGGUUUCGGUGUUGAGGUAUGGUUUGCAUUUUAGAAAUUCAUUUUGGAAAUGUGAAGAUGUCUUCUAUGCGGCUUGAAAGCCCGUCUGACGUUCACAAGCUGUAUGGCUCAGGUCUUCAGUGCCUGAAGGUUAUACAGCAAACCCACCUUGACUUUGACUUCGGAGUCUUUUCCUCCUGAAGCCAAAUCUGUUUCAGCAUUCUGGUCUCGUUAAUUCUCAUGGUGACAGUAUAUUAAUAUGAGCCAAAGAGAAAAUAAAAUUCACUGAAAGAAAAUAAGGCUGAGCCUCAUUACGCCUGUAAUCCCAGCACUUUGGGAGGCCGAGGCGGGUGGAUCAUCUGAGGUCAGGAGUUCAAGACCAGCCUGGCCAACAUGGUGAAACCCCCGUCUCUACGAAAAAUACAAAAAUUAGCCAGGAGUGGUGGCACACGCCUGUAAUCCCAGCUACUCUGGUGGCUGAGGCAGGAAAAUCUCUUGAACCUGGGAGGCUGAGGUUGCAGUGAGCUGAGAUUGCGCCACUGCACUCCAGCCUGGGCGACAGAGUGAGACUCCAUCUCAAAAAAAAAAAAAAAGAGAGAAAAUGAGAAUAAAUAAGCAGCCAUUCCACCUCUUGGGUCAAAGCUUCCAAAUUUGCUUUUUCUCCAAGGAGUGGCAGCCACAGCAAAACAUCUUCUGCAGCGUCUGGCCAGGGCGUUACUCCAGCCCAGUUUUGCCCUGGACUAGAUUGAGUCAGGUCGUGCAUGGAACGCAAGCACAAACCACGGUCAGCUCCUCGAGACUGACCCACUGGCCCACUGAGCAGAGGAGCCCCUGGGUCUCUGGACGCUGCCCAGUUGUUGACAUCCUGAGGCAGGUUUGCGGCUGAUGGAGCAACAGGGACGGGCUGGGCCCGGCACCUUUUUCACGGAAAUGAUGAGCUCUGGACAGCAGUGAUGCCAGGGCCCAUAAAGCCUCAGGCGCCCGUCAUUGCUGCUGCCUGCGUGUGCUCGCUCACCGCGACGGCGGCGGGCUGGAGGAAGCUGUGCAAGAGCCAAGUGUCUACCAUGAGUCUGCAUGUUCAUAUGGUUCAGAUUUGCCUUGGAAUCCCCGCGAGCCAAACUCUUUCAUUUCACUUAGUAAAAGGGAUGCAUUGACUCAGAUGUUCUGUCCUAUUUAAAUGAGAGGGGCGCGGGAGGUGAUGGAACACAAAACCAUGAGCCAUGGCUUUGCUGGGGAAUGCUGUGGAUCUGGUGUGUGAUAGAGAGAGAGUGUGUGUGCGUGUGUGUGUGUGUAUGGCAAAGUGCACAAAUCGCACGUGUACACCUCAGUGGCUUUUUACACAUUUAGACGUGUGUAAGUGUAUAGAGCAUUUCCACACCCCAGAGGCCCCGAGCUCACUCCCUCCCGCUCUCCCCAUCCCUGACGCUAACCUGAUGCCUGUUGUCGUACAUCAGCUUCUCAACCUCGGCACUAUUGAUUGCCAUUUGGGGCCAAUAAUUCUAGGGGGUGGUGGCUGUGGUGGGCACUGUAGGAUGUUUCCUGUGUCCCUGGCCCUGACCUACUAGAUACUAGAUGCACCCACCCUCUCCAUCGUGACAACCAAACGUCUCCAGACAUUGCUAAAUACACCCUGGGGACACAGUCACCCUGGCUGAGAACCAGAGCGUGGGUCACUGUGACUUCCGCGCUUCCUCUCCAUGGCAUCGCACGGUGCCAUGUGUCCUGCCCUCCGUGUUCUUCUCUCUACGCUGCUUCUCUGAAAUCCCUCCAGCGGUGGCGGGUGCCAGGAGUUAGUUUUGCUUUCUCACUUUGGAGUAAUGUUGCAUUUUAUGGAUGUGCCACGAUGUGCUUGUCUGUUCCACUGCGGAUGGCAUCUCUUGUUGCAGUUGGGGCUGUUAAGAGUGUUCUCAGUGUGCCUUGUGGAGGGCUUGUGUCCUUUCUCUUGGGUGCAUCCUCCUGAGUAGGACUGCAGGGUCCCAGGCAGGCGCCUAUUAGCAGGAGUGGCCACCAUUGCACAGUGCUCCCAAUUCCAUUCCCACAGGCCACCUGAGAGUCAGGGAGCUUCUGUCACAAUUUUAAGUGCUGCAGGAUUAAUGCAAACUUUCUGAUGUGCUUCAAGUUGCUUUGUGUUGAAAUGGACUAGAGGGGAUUUAAGCUCACAGACAUAUAUCCAGAGCAUGCCCACUUUGAUAAUGCUAUCUUCACUAAUAAAUUAUUCUCAAAACAGCAGGUACUUGCAGUUCUGAACUAGAUAAAGCCCUUUCCUUUCCAUCUACUCACUGAGUCAUCAGGUGCCUGGCUGACAGCUGACGCUAAGUCUUCACAAUUAACCAAGUCUCUGGGCGCCCCUCAGGCUUUAACAUGAGGACACAUGGCAGAUUAAUCACGAAGCCCCACCUCUCAUUUCAGCUGCCAUGAAUGGCAAUUCCCAAAAUGCAGGGGGAGAAAAAGACUGGAAGGAAAUGUCGUGGUCUAAAAUAUCACCAAAAGUUGUCUUUGUUUUAUUUAUUUAUUUAUUUAUUUAUUUUGUUUGAGACAGAGUCUCACUCUCCCAGGCUGGAGUGCAAUGGCCCAAUAUCAGCUCACUGCAACCUCCGCCUCUCAGGUUCAAAUGAUUCUGCUGCCUCAGCCUCCGGAGUAGCUGGGAUUGCAGGUGUCCGCCACCACGCCUGGCUAAUUUUUGUAAUUUUAGUAGAGACAGGGUUUCACCAUGUUGGCCAGGCUGGUCUCAAACUCGUGACCUCAAGUGAUCUGCCUGCUUCGGCCUCCCAAAGUGCUGGGAUUACAAGUGUGAGCUUGGCCUCCAAGGGUUGUCUUUGUGGGAUUGUUUGCCCUCCAUCUGUUUGUCUGUGUAUUCCCAGUUUUCUGCAAUGGACAGUUUUUACGUUUCAAACGGGAAACUCUUUUCUCCUUCCGUGUCUCCAUGCAAGCCCAGAGACGCCAGCAUCAUGUCUGUCUCCCAUCCUCCACUUCUCUGACGACCAAAGGUCCUGGGUUCUCUGAGGCCUGCGCCUGGGCCUUGUUACAACCCAGCAGGCUUAUCUUGAUUCCAGUAAUUGAGAGGCACAUUUGCCAAGUUUAUAUACCCUCUUGAAACUCAAGUACUGGUUUGUGGAUUAAUGCGAGAUUCAGUUGCAUGCAUUUGAAAUGCAAGCGUCUAAUUCCGCGUGUAAAAUACGGGGCCACAGACCUCUUGGGCAUUGCACACCAUUCCAUUCAGAUGAGCGCAGCAAAAGCAAACUGUAACCCCUAGGAUUAAAUUCUCCUUUAAAUACUCACGGGUUUUUAGCUUCGGGGGAAAAUAUGUCUGGGAAAAAUAUCUUGGGGUUUCAUCAAACACUUGGAAAAUAAUCUGAAAACAUUUUUCCAAACCCUCCAUGCCUCCAGCCUGAAUCCUAAUUGAUAGUUAAUAACUACAUCGACAGAAGCCUUCUCACUCUAUCACGAUUACUGGAAGGCUAAAGAGACAUCUGUCUGGAGUACUGGGAGUGAAGCAAGGAUCUCAGGAUCACCAAGGAUCUUGUCUGGCCAAGGUCUUUACCACACAAACAAGCUUUUUUUCACCCCCGGAAAUACUUGCCCCGAGUCCACUGUCAACCAUUACCAGAAUCAGAUCUCGGACCAAUCGCAAGUGUAUUUAUGUAUUCAUUCAUCAAACACUUAUUGAGCCCCAACUCUGUGCCAGGCAUUGCCUGUACUUGCAGGGAGAUCAAAAAUGAAAGGAGGUGAGCAUUUUGACAGCUCUUGUCUUAGAGAGUUUGCAGCCAGUGGGAGAAAGCAAGACAUCGGUAACUGGGAAAAGGCAGGGGUGCUCCGAGUCACAGAACAGAGCCCGUGGCUGGCAGAGCCCGGAGGAGGGUCUGGCUGGGCAGUAGAUGUUGAAUUCUAUUUUUUUCAAAAUCAUUUUUUUCUAUUCCAGAUCCUUUGCUUUUCCACAUCAAUUUUUACUAUCUACAAAAAGUCAUGCUGGAAUUUUGACUUGAAUUGUGUUAAACCUCCACAUCAAUUUGGGGAUAAUUUACAGCAUAGUUACAUUUGAGCCCUCCAAUCCAUAAACACAGUAUAUCUCUGUUUUUAGGCCUUUGAUUUCUUUUGUGAGCAUUUUGAUAAAGCAUACAGAUCAUCCUCAAGUUUCGUCAGAUUUAUACCUGAGUAUUUCAUUUUUGGAGAGCUGUUGUAAAUGGGUUUAACAUUUUUAUCAUUUAUGUAUUUUUCAUUGCUAGUAUAUAGAAAUAUGAUUUUUUUUUGUCUGUUGGCCUUAUGUCCUGAGAUCUUGUUAAACUCAUUAUUUCAAUAAGCUUUUUUGUUUGUUCAUUUGGACAGCGUCUUGCUUGAGCCU